rnacentral:rRNA from 1 species
GUAGAGGGUAGUGGAAUUUCCAGUGUAGCGGUGAAAUGCGUAGAGAUUGGAAGGAACAUCAGUGGCGAAGGCGGCUACCUGGACAAAUACUGACACUGAGGCACGAAAGCGUGGGGAGCAAACAGGAUUAGAUACCCUGGUAGUCCACCCCGUAAACGAUGUCAACUAGCCGUCUGUAGACUUGAUCUGUGGGUGGCGUAGCUAACGCGCU